UACGGAGGAUGCAAGCGUUAUCCGGAAUGAUUGGGCGUAAAGCGUCCGCAGGUGGCUAUGUAAGUCUGCUGUUAAAGAGUGAGGCUCAACCUCAUAAGAGCAGUGGAACUACAUAGCGUAGAGUGCGUUCGGGGCAGAGGGAAUUCCUGGAUGUAGCGGUGAAAUGCGUAGAGAUCAGGAAGAACACCGGUGGCGAAGGCGCUCUGCUAGGCCGCAACUGACACUGAGGGACGAAAGCUAGGGGAGCGAAUGGG
rnacentral:rRNA from 1 species